CUCUCACCUCUCUGUCUCACCGACUCAUUUCAGCUUAUUCUCUUUCAUUCAGAGACAUAGAAACCCCCUCCUCUCUCAACGUCCCUCUCGCGCCUUUCCCCGGCGGUGUCUCCACAGUCUCUUGAACCCUGCCCACCGACUUGCUGGUUUCGCAAAGCCCGCACUACAGCCCACAGCAGAACACACUUCUCCCUCGUUUUUUCUUUCUUCACUGAUUGAAGGCUUUGUGAUGCGAGAGGGGUACACCAUAUUGGUCUAGAUUUCAGACACGCAAGCUGGGUUCGUAAUAGACGCUUCAACUGAUGGCUUCCAAGCAAGAAAAUGAGGAUAAAUUAAGGGGAGAGCUGUACAAUGCUAUACUAAAGGAAGACGUGGGGAAAGUGAUAGAACUUUGUGAAGGUUUUGAUUGAUGAAGUACGAGCUCGUCUGUAAGAGUGGGCAGAUGGAAUCCCUUGUUGGUGUGAGUGUAUGCUCUAUAAGGGUCACCGGUGUGGUGCCUGCCAUAACGCCUCUGAUGCAAAAGUUAGAAUAAUGAAAAAACAAGACAAAGAACCAGAGUGCUCUCUCAAAGUGUGAGUGUAUGUGUCUACCUUCUGUUGACUGUGUGAGGACUUUAUACAUGUGGCUUUAGGGGCUAGCCGUUGUGGUUGUUAAUGCUUUCCCAAGUAACGCCUCUGGUCCAAUAAUGGAACUUUUAAGAGGCUCCCAAUGGUCUGUCUGGUUGAUUUGGUAACUGUCCAGGUCAUUGAUUGACUGCAUUGAAUGACUCCCCUGCCUUCGUCAGUGAUGACUGUUUUCUUCGUUAUUCAGGACGACUUCGUCAUGGAUGCUUUCUUCGUCAUUAGUGUUAGCUUCAUUUGUGGGAUGUAAUUUCGUCAUUCCCAUUAGUUGCCCCCCAGGUUUUGGGGUCGUCAGUGACGUGUCAUGACGAUCACGGAAGAUGAAAAGUUUUCUUGAGCUGUCUGUGACUCUUGGGGUUCUGUUCCGAAUUUAAUGCUUAGUGGCGGCGCUACACGCAACGUGGCCACGUGGCGCGUGCUGAUUCGUGGAAUUAAUGGUGUGACUCUUGGAUUUUCCACUGGUUUCUCAAUCGUUUUUUGCCCUAAGUUUAA